GGGCAGAGGUGCAGGAAGCAGCACAGAGGGGGGAAGUGGGUGCCUGUGGGCUGUGGGCGCAGCAUGGCGGAGCUGGAGGGCCCCGAGUUCGGCAAGGCUGAUUUUGUCCUGCUGGACGAGGUCACCAUGGAGCACUUCAUGGAGAACCUGCGGCUGCGGUUCUCAAAGGGCCGCAUCUACACCUACAUUGGGGAGGUGGUGGUGGCCAUGAACCCCUACCAGCCGCUGGAGCUGUACGGCCCCUCUGUGGUGGAGCAGUACCAGGGUCGUGAGCUCUACGAGCGCCCGCCGCACCUCUUCGCGUUGGCUGAUGCCGCCUAUAAGGCCAUGAAGCGCCGUGCCAAGGACACCUGCAUCGUCAUCUCGGGUGAGAGCGGGGCCGGCAAGACGGAGGCCAGCAAGUACAUCAUGCAGUACAUCGCCGCCAUCACCAACCCAACGCAGCGUGCCGAGGUGGAGAGGGUGAAGAAUGUGCUGCUGAAGUCCAACUGUGUCCUGGAGGCCUUCGGCAACGCCAAGACCAACCGCAAUGACAACUCGAGCCGCUUCGGCAAGUACAUGGACAUCAACUUUGACUUCAAGGGAGACCCCACCGGUGGCCACAUCUACAAUUACCUCCUGGAGAAGUCCCGAGUCCUCCAGCAGCAGCCGGGAGAGAGGAACUUCCACUCCUUCUACCAGCUGCUUCUGGGAGCCCCUGAUGCACUGCUGGCCUCACUGCACCUCCAGCGGGACCCCACUGCAUACUGCUACACCCAGCAGGGCACCCAGGGAAGCGCUGGCGGUGACGAUGCGCGUGGCUACCGGGCAGUGGAGGAGGCAAUGGCAGUCAUUGGCUUCACCCCAGAGGAGGUGGGCGCUGUGCAACGCAUCCUGGCGGCCAUCCUGCACCUGGGCAACGUGCAGUUUGUGGCAGAGGGUGAGGUGGCGGCGCUGGAGGCAGUGGAGCAGCUGGCCGUGCUGGCCCAGCUGACAGGAACAACACCUGAGCAGCUCCGCCAGGCACUGCUGGCCCGCACCGUGGCCACGGGAGGCGGGGAGCUCAUCGAGAAGGGCCACAGCCCCACCGAGGCUGCCUAUGGCAGGGAUGCCUGUGCCAAGGCCAUAUACGAGCGUCUCUUCGGAUGGAUCGUGGGGCGCAUCAAUGCUAGCAUCACCGCACGUGGUUAUGAUGUCCGGCAGCAUGGCAAGAGCACCGUCAUUGGCGUCCUUGACAUCUAUGGCUUCGAGAUCUUUGACACCAACAGCUUUGAACAGUUCUGCAUCAACUACUGCAACGAGAAGCUGCAGCAGCUUUUCAUCGAGCUCAUCCUGAGGCAGGAGCAAGCGGAGUACCAGCGAGAGGGCAUCACCUGGCAGAAUAUUGAGUACUUCAGCAACGAGCCUAUCGUGGAGCUGGUGGAGCAGCCGCACCGUGGCAUCCUGGCGCUGCUGGACGAGGCCUGCUUGGCUGUGGGGACCGUCACUGAUGCCCUCUUCCUGGCCAACAUGGAUGCCCGCCUGGGCCACCACCCACACUACAGCAGCCGUAAGCUCUGCCCCACCGACAAGACCAUGGAGUUUGACCGUGAUUUCCGCAUCAAACACUACGCCGGAGAUGUCACGUACUCCGUGGAGGGUUUCCUGGACAAGAACAAGGACACACUAUUCCAGGACUUCAAACGGCUCCUCUACAACAGCAUGGACCCUGUGCUGCGUGCCAUGUGGCCCGAUGGUGAGCAGAGCAUCACUGAGGUCACCAAGCGCCCACUGACCGCUGCCACGCUCUUCAAGAACUCCAUUGUGGCCCUGGUGGAAAACCUUGCCUCCAAGGAGCCCUACUAUGUGCGCUGCAUCAAGCCUAAUGACCAGAAGUCUCCAGUGCUGUUCGACGAGGAGCGGUGCCGGCACCAGGUUGCCUAUCUGGGGCUGCUGGAGAACGUGCGUGUGCGCCGUGCCGGCUUCGCCUACCGCCAGCCCUACGACCGCUUCCUGCAGCGGUACAAGAUGACGUGUGAAUACACAUGGCCCAACCACCUGAUGGCCACUGACCGUGAGGCCACGCAGACCCUCCUGGAGCAGCAUGGCUUCCAGGACGAUGUGGCUUAUGGCCACACCAAAGUCUUCAUCCGCACGCCCCGCACGCUCUUCUGCCUUGAGCAGGAGCGGGCGCAGCUCAUCCCCAUUAUUGUCCUGCUGCUGCAGAAGGCUUGGCGUGGAGCCCUGGCCCGGCGGUGGUGCCGGUACCUGCGUGCCGCCUAUGCCAUCAUGGGCUACUACAAGCGGCACAAGGUGAAGGCAUACCUGCUGGAGCUGAUACGGCGCUUCCAGGGUGUGCGCUCCAUGCCCGACUUUGGCAAGAGCCUGGCAUGGCCAGAGCCGCCGGCUGUGCUGAGCCGCUUCCAGGAGAACAGCCAGCAGCUCUUCCGCAGGUGGCGAGCGCGGCAGAUCGUCAAGAACAUCCCUCCCUCUGACAUGGCGCAGAUCCGGGCCAAGGUGGCCGCCAUGGGGGCUCUGCAUGGGCUGCGGAAGGACUGGGGGUGCCAGCGGGGCUGGGUGCGCGACUACCUGUCCUCGGCCAGCGAGAACCCAGGCUUGGCGCUGCCCUUCGCCCACCGUGUGCAGGCCCUACGUGACAAGGUGCACUUCGGCGCUGUCCUCUUCUCCAGCCAUGUCCGCAAGAUCAACCGCUUCAACAAGAGCCGGGACCGUGCCAUCCUGAUCACCGACCAGCACCUCUACAAGUUGGAGCCCCGGAAGCAGUACCGGGUGAUGCGGGAGCUGCCGCUCAGCAUGGUGACGGGGCUGAGUGUGACGAGCUGCCGGGCGCAGCUGGUGGUCUUCCACACGCAGAACCACGAUGACCUGGCCGUCUGCCUGCACAAGACACAGCCGCGGGGAGACGAGCGGGUGGGCGAGCUGGUGGGCGUCCUGCUGGAGCACUGCCGAACGACCAAGCGGGAGCUGCAGGUCCAUGUCUCCGACCGCAUCCAGCUGAGCCUGCGGGGGCGCAAGAGGUUGCUGACCGUGGAAACUCAGCCCGACGUGGCUGCCCCUGAUUUCCGCAAGAGUCGUGAUGGUUUUGUGCUCUACUGGCCUGGGAGCUGAGGGGGUGGAUGCCGUGUCCCCCACCGCUGCCACCGGUGCUGUGGUGACAGGGCACAGCUGUGUCCUGCAUCCCUGCCCCAUGCCCUGCAUCCCCCCCAGCCCUGCAUCCCCCCCAUCCCACCUCCCCCUUCCAAGAGCAGGAAGGGCUGUGGCUGCGCUCGCUGCGGGGAGUGCGACACGGAACUGCGUCCUGGGGCAGGCAGUGCUGAAGUCACACCCAGUGCUGCCGGAGCUGACGCAGACGUGCACCCAGAAGAGCUGCAGGGUGC